CGGUCCCCUCUCCCUUUUCCCCCCAGGUUUCCUUUUAUAGGAGGAUUUUUGUUACCUGGGAGGUGACAGGAGGUUUGUCCUGUUUUGUAAUAAUUGGGCACGAUUUGGCCCAUUAAUGGCGUAAUGGAGAACGGGACCGGAUCAGACCGGAAUCAGGGAGUUGUCACGGUCGAUCGGACCUGUUGGAGUGGUUGAACCGCCGGCUGUGGUGGGCCUGGGA
rnacentral:lncRNA from 1 species